rnacentral:rRNA from 1 species
AUUGAACGCUGGCGGCGUGCCUAAUACAUGCAAGUAGGACGCAGUUGCGAACGGGUGAGUAACGCGUAGGUAACUACCUAUUAGAGGGGGAUAACUAUUGGAAACGAUAGCUAAUACCGCAUACUAGUCGCUGGCCCUGCGUUGUAUUAGCUAGUAGGUAGGGUAAAGGCCUACCUAGGCCACGAUCAAUAGCCGACCUGAGAGGGGGAUCGGCAAAAAUGGGACUGAGACACGGCCCAGACUCCGACGGGAGGCAGCAGUAGGGAAGCGUCGGCAAGGGGGGGAACCCUGACCGAGCAACGCCGCGUGAGGGAAGAAGGUGUUCGGAUCGUAAAGUUCUGUUGUUAAGGAAGCGGUACUUAACCAGAAAGGGACGGCUAACUACGUGCCAGCCGCCGCGGUAAUAC